rnacentral:rRNA from 1 species
AUUGAACGCUGGCGGCAUGCCUUACACAUGCAAGUCGAACGGUAACGGGCCUUCGGGUGCCGACGAGUGGCGAACGGGUGAGUAAUACAUCGGAGCGUGCCCGAUCGUGGGGGAUAACGAGGCGAAAGCUUUGCUAAUACCGCAUACGAUCUACGGAUGAAAGCAGGGGACCGCAAGGCCUUGCGCGGACGGAGCGGCCGAUGGCAGAUUAGGUAGUUGGUGGGAUAAAAGCUUACCAAGCCGACGAUCUGUAGCUGGUCUGAGAGGAUGAUCAGCCACACUGGGACUGAGACACGGCCCAGACUCCUACGGGAGGCAGCAGUGGGGAAUUUUGGACAAAGGGCGCAAGCCUGAUCCAGCCAUGCCGCGUGCAGGAUGAAGGCCUUCGGGUUGUAAACUGCUUUUGUACGGAACGAAAAGCCUUCUUUUAAUACAGGAGGGUCAUGACGGUACCGUAAGAAUAAGCACCGGCUAACUACGUG